rnacentral:rRNA from 1 species
GACGAACGCUGGCGGCGUGCUUAACACAUGCAAGUCGAACGGAAAGGCCCUGCUUUUGUGGGGUUCUCGAGUGGCGAACGGGUGAGUAACACGUGAGUAACCUGCCCUUGACUUUGGGAUAACUUCAGGAAACUGGGGCUAAUACCGUAUAGGAGCUCCUGCUGCAUGGUGGGGGUUGGAAAGUUUCGGCUGUUGGGGCUGGACGCGCGGCUUAUCAGCUUGUUGGUGGGGUAGUGGCUUACCAAGGCUGUGACGGGUAGCCGGCCUGAGAGGGUGAACGGCCACAUUGGGACUGAGAUACGGCCCAGACUCCUACAGGAGGCAGCAGUGGGGAAUAUUGCACAAUGGGAGGAAGCCUGAUGCAGAAACGCCGCGUGCGGGAUGACGGCCUUCGGGUUGUAAACCGCUUUAGCCUGUGACGAAGCGUGAGUGACGGUAAUGGGUAAAGAAGCACCGGCUAACUACGUG